rnacentral:rRNA from 1 species
GAUGAACGCUGGCGGCGUGCCUAAUACAUGCCAGUCGAGCGAACAGACGAGGAGCUUGCUCCUCUGACGUUAGCGGCGGACGGGUGAGUAACACGUGGAUAACCUACCUAUAAGACUGGGAUAACUUCGGGAAACCGGAGCUAAUACCGGAUAAUAUAUUGAACCGCAUGGUUCAAUAGUGAAAGACGGUUUUGCUGUCACUUAUAGAUGGAUCCGCGCCGCAUUAGCUAGUUGGUAAGGUAACGGCUUACCAAGGCAACGAUGCGUAGCCGACCUGAGAGGGUGAUCGGCCACACUGGAACUGAGACACGGUCCAGACUCCUACGGGAGGCAGCAGUAGGGAAUCUUCCGCAAUGGGCGAAAGCCUGACGGAGCAACGCCGCGUGAGUGAUGAAGGUCUUCGGAUCGUAAAACUCUGUUAUUAGUGAAGAACAAAUGUGUAAGUAACUAUGCACGUCUUGACGGUACCUAAUCAGAAAGCCACGGCUAACUACGUG